AGAGAUUGAAGACGGUCAUGACAUCGAG
rnacentral:sRNA from 1 species